GACCAGACUCCUACGGGAGGCAGCAGUGGGGAAUAUUGCACAAUGGGGGAAACCCUGAUGCAGCGACGCCGCGUGAGUGAAGAAGUAUUUCGGUAUGUAAAGCUCUAUCAGCAGGGAAGAAAAUGACGGUACCUGACUAAGAAGCCCCGGCUAACUACGUGCCAGCAGCCGCGGUAAUACGUAGGGGGCAAGCGUUGUCCGGAUUUACUGGGUGUAAAGGGAGCGUAGACGGUUGUAUAAGUCUGGAGUGAAAGCCCGGGGCCCAACCCCGGGACUGCUUUGGAAACUGUGUAACUUGAGUACAGGAGGGGCAGGCGGAAUUCCUGGUGUAGCGGUGAAAUGCGUAGAUAUCAGGAGGAACACCGGCGGCGAAGGCGGCCUGCUGGACUGAAACUGACGUUGAGGCUCGAAAGCGUGGGGAGCAAACAGGAUUAGAUACCCCUGUA
rnacentral:rRNA from 1 species